rnacentral:tRNA from 1 species
GGACGCUUAGCUCAGUUGGUUCAGAGCGUCUGGUUUACACCCAGAAGGUCGCAGGUUCGAAUCCUGCAGCGUCCACAA